UACGUAGGUGGCAAGCGUUGUCCGGAUUUACUGGGCGUAAAGAGCGCGCAGGCGGUCAGAUAAGUCGAAUGUGGAAGCCCCCGGCUCAACUGGGGAGGGUCAUUCGAUACUGUUCGACUCGAAGGCAGGAGAGGGAAGUGGGAAUUCCCGGUGUAGUGGUGAAAUGCGUAGAUAUCGGGAGGAACACCAGUGGCGAAGGCGACUUCCUGGCCUGUUCUUGACGCUGAGCGCGAAAGCUAGGGGAGCAAACGGG
rnacentral:rRNA from 1 species